AUAGCUCUCAAAUAUUAGCUUAUCUUUUCAUAUAGAACCUUUUAGAAAGUUGAAGUUGAGAGUCAAUAAUUUUUUAAAGCAGUAGAACUAAUUAAAGGUAAUUUAAACGUCCCAACGUAACGGGACGCCACAUGCGGCCACUGUUACACUCCGUUUCCUUUAAUAUGUCGAUAAAUGGUUCCCGUGAAAUAGGCUUCCCAUAACAAAAAACGGCUUUUCGUAUUCAUUUUUGUGAAGUAGGUAAUACUAAUCUACCUGACGCCUGAUUUCGUAUUUUGUGCGUUUGUUUUCUUAACAUCAAGUGACAUCAGCUCAUUGCUGAGCUAGGCAAAUCACCUAAUGAUAAAUAAUAUAGAUAAAUUGCACGCACUUCAUGCCAACGCCGUUUCAAGGACCUAAGCCGAUAACUUGUAAUGUCGAUGGGCGUCUUGAUAAAUCUCUCCGGACGUGCCAAGCUUAAAGACGAAUUUCUCUUUACUUCGAAUAGCAUCGAUUGGGGCGCAGGGCAUAUCAGCGGGCGGCUGCCUAAGAUCUAAGCAACAUCAAAUGGAGGAUAGUCCGGUCAAAACAAGUCAUGCCAUCGUGAGAAUCAUCCACGUGUUAUUAAUGAGCUCUGCAUCGGAUUGAAAGUCCUACCUGACUAUUACCCAUGGCGUUGCUGUCAAUAUUACUAUCUGCAUCCUCGGACAUCCCACCAGCCGUUGACAUACCGUCACUAUUAAUGGCAUGGCAUACUUUCCGCCUAUCUUGCAAAUUGAUAUAUAAAACUUGUAUUGGUGCUGGAAGAUGAAAAAACAUUUCAAGGGGAUGCAUAUUAUAAACAUAAAUGAAUAGACCGUAACCCAUGUUGAGUUGAAUUAAAUUAUUACAUCCAUAGACGAUAAUUCUAGCACUCAGAGUUCAGCUCUUCUACACGUAUGAAGAAUUCGUUGCAUUUACUAAAGAAAACCACUCGAUGUAGCAUUGCAUAUCUAAUCGUUAGUAUGAUAAUGGAAUUAUUAAUUCAAACUGCCUGGGUAUGAUUGUGGACGAAAUAUAAGGUACCGAGCGGUGUCACAUAUUUGUGUUAUUGUUGCCGUGCUAACAACAGAAAACUUAUCUACUUGACUCGCCUACAACUUCAGCGGACUCUUUAUUCAUCUAUACGUCUGAUUUUACCAUUUCGUUAAAUCAAGCAUCGAUUGUUCAGGCGGCACAACUUAUAACAAAAUGCAAGUGAAGCCGCGUGAAAUUACCAAUAAUCCGAAUCUGUAAAAAUAAUUCUUCAUAAUAUUCAUGAAUAUCCAGUUUUAUGUAGUUAAAAAAUUUAUUAGACAAUCCAAUUUGUUGUACUAUGACUGCAUUUACCCAAGAGCAAGGCAACUGCUAUGGCACACGCGAUGAAGGCAGUUUCCUAAUACCAUGGUGAAAUUCAAUGUGGAAUAUGUGAGCCUACGUAGGAAAUGUCUGCUUACUGUUUCAGUUUUAACCCAACAUCGAUUGUCAUAUGCAUUUCAAGGAGACAGCAGAAGUUAUUUCGAACAAAAAAUACCGAAAAAUUGUUUGCCGUACUUUCGCUAGAGUGUUAAUUGAAAGAUUAGCUAGUGAAAGCGCAGAAGUUUAGUCUAGUUUUACCUCAAGGCAAGAAAAGAUGCUGCUAAAUGUGUAGUAAACGACGUUUUUCCUAUAUAUAUAUAUUGUCAAUAAUCUUCUAAACAGAAUUUGUAAAUUUUCUAGGGUUGCUAUAUAUAUAUAUAUAAAGCAUUUUUUAUGAAUAGGGUUGAUAUGAUACAUUAGUGUUGGUCUUCCCUAUACGAUAAGCCAUGUGCCGAAUG
rnacentral:lncRNA from 1 species